UACGUAGGGGGCAAGCGUUAUCCGGAUUUACUGAGUGUAAAGGGGGCGCAGACGGCGAUGCAAGCCAGGAGUGAAAGCCCGGGGCCCAACCCCGGGACUGCUCUUGGAACUGCGUGGCUGGAGUGCAGGAGGGGCAGGCGGAAUUCCUAGUGUAGCGGUGAAAUGCGUAGAUAUUAGGAGGAACACCAGUGGCGAAGGCGGCUUACUGGACGGCAACUGACGCUGAGGCUCGAAAGCGUGGGGAGCAAACAGG
rnacentral:rRNA from 1 species